rnacentral:rRNA from 1 species
CCUACGGGUGUCAGCAGUGAGGAAUAUUGGUCAAUGGGAGAGAUCCUGAACCAGCCAAGCCGCGUGAGGAAAGACGGCCCUAUGGGUUGUAAACAUCUUUUGUCGGAGAACAAAACCCGGGACGUGUCCCGGACUGCGUGUAUCCGAAGAAAAAGCAUCGGCUAACUCCGUGCGAGCAGCCGCGGGAAUACGGAGGAUGAGAGAGUUAUCCGGCUUUAUUGGUGUUAAAGGGUGCGUGGGCGGUCCGGUACGUCAGCGGUAAAAUUGCGGGGCUCAACCCCGUCGAGCCGUUGAAACUGGCAGACUUGAGUUGGCGAGAAGUACGCGGAAUGCGCGGUGUAGCUGUGAAAUGCAUAGAUAUCGCGCAGAACUCCGAUUGCGAAGGCAGCGUACCGGCGCCAGACUGACGCUGAGGCACGAAAGCGUGGGGAUCGAACAGGAUUAGAUACCCCGGUAGUC